rnacentral:siRNA from 1 species
CGAGGUUGAGAAUCUAUGCAUC